rnacentral:misc_RNA from 1 species
AACGCAUCUUGCACCCCUUGGUAUUCCGAGGGGUAUGUCUGUUUGAGUGUCAUUAAACUCUCAACUUCAAGAAGUUUUUCUUCUUGAGGAUUGGAUGUGGGGUUUUGCUGGAUUCUUUUCUAGCUCUCCUGAAAAGUAUUAGUGGAAAAAAACAUCAGUAGAUUUGUUCCCAUGGUGUGAUAGUUAUCUACGCCUGCGGUGAACAUCUUGUAUGGAAUUUUUCUGCUUUCGAAUAGUCCAUUAGCUUGGACAGUGUUGUCUUAUUGACCAACUUGACCUCAGAUCAGGUAGGACUACCCGCUGAACUUAA